rnacentral:rRNA from 1 species
CGAAGGUCCCAAGCGUUAUCCGGAUUUAUUGGGUUUAAAGGGUGCGUAGGCGGCUUAUUAAGUCAGUGGUGAAAGCUCCAUGCUUAACAUGGAAAUUGCCAUUGAUACUGAUGAGCUUGAGUACAUUUGAAGUGGGCGGAAUGUGUCGUGUAGCGGUGAAAUGCUUAGAUAUGACACAGAACACCGAUUGCGUAGGCAGCUCACUAAACUGUAACUGACGCUGAGGCACGAAAGCAUGGGGAUCAAACAGGAUUAGAUACCCUGGUAGUCCAUGCCCUAAACGAUGAUUACUCGAUGUGUGCGAUAUACUGUACGCGUCUGAGCGAAAGCAUUAAGUAAUCCACCUGGGGAGUACGGCCGCAAGGCUG